rnacentral:tRNA from 1 species
GCCCAGGUGGCGGAACUGGUAUACGCGUACGUCUCAGAAGCGUAUGUCGAAAGACUUGCGAGUUCGAGUCUCGCCCUGGGCACCA